CGAGUAGCUGGAUAAAUUAAUAUUUUAAAAACAUCCUCACCGAACAGAUGAACUUCUCGAAGAGCGCAAAGAAGAUAAUCUGUCUGUUCCAUGAAACGUGAGCUGGGCAGCAGAGGACCAUUUACAAAACCGUUCACCCACACAUUGGCAGAUUGGUAUUGAUUGACAGCUGGGAGUUAAGCUGGUACUGCUCUGAAGUCGCCAUGACCUCUAACCUAGAUGGCUACAAUACCUACUACGACUUCUCCUUGCCUCCAGGUUUGCCUCUCUACAUUCUAUUCUCAACAAAGCAACCAGGGUGAUUCACCUGAAACAUACAAGUCACAUCACGUCACCUCAUGUUACUGUAAUAGAUUUUCAUCUUCUCAGGAUGGAAGUGAAGAGUUAUUAGAAUACCAUAAAGAGACUAUGUUAUGUGUUCCCCAAAUGCCACCCCCCUACUAUACUGGCUUCAUAUUAUACUCUCACCCUUUCUCUUUCUGCUCUGAGCUGUUAGUUGUCUUGUUGUGUCUCCACCAUAAUAUAUAUGUUGCUAACUCAUGGCCUUUAUGCAUAUGGUUCUGAUAAUUUUCUUCCUCAGAUAAAGUUUCACACUCACUUUAUCCUUCAGGUGUUUCUCCUAUAUGUCACCUAUCAGUGAAAUCUACACUGGCUACCAUGUAGCAUGCCCCCAUCCUCCAACCAUGCCUUGACACCAUCUCCCCAAUUUAUUGCUUUAAUUUUCCUCAUACAAUUUAUUGCCACUUGACUUGACACAUAUUUACUCAUUAUCUGUUUAUUGCCAGUCCAUCACCAGAAUAUUUAAUGAAUACAGAAUAAAUACGUGUUAAAUGAAUGAAUAAAUUAAUACCUAAAAGACAGGAGUUGAGUUUUACUUCUAUACCAGAGGCAGAUAAUCUAAAGCCCUCAGACUAAAUCUA
rnacentral:lncRNA from 1 species